UCACGCCAUCGUCCUGGUCUGCCCAUGCCACGCCAGCCGCAGGAAAGCACGCCCAAGUCCCAAAGGGGGUUGCGAGUCAGCUGCGGGUGCUCGCGUUCGAGCGGGGCAAGGGGAGGCUUUGGAGACGCACUCGUCGGCUGUGAGCGUGUGCGGGUGGGUCAGUCAGUCUGUGGACCUCGCUGAGGUGCAUCAGAGCUCGCACGCACCCAUUUUUCUGGUUGUCGAGGUGGGUGUACUCGUCGAGGAGGCGAGGAGAGCGACUUGGACGGGUCAACUCGCUCAGACUGAGUCGCUUGCGUAUGGACAAUUUUUAGUACUGCACUCAGAUGCUGCCA
rnacentral:misc_RNA from 1 species